CGUCGCGUUCCAUAUACGCGCAAGAGAUCGUACAACUGAGGAACCUUUCAUGCCACUGUUUCUAUUUCCCGGUACUGGACGAAGACAUGGAGAAGUGCAUGGCUGUUGCCACCCCUUGGACGUGAGUGAGGGUCACUUCCAGUAAGUAGGGCACUGGAUAAGAACAUAGAUGACUGUCUGGCCAUUGCCGCACCUACUACAAGUAGGAGGGUCCCCGCCAGUCAAGAGGUAGGAGUGAAUACUUUUCUAUUUCCCGGUGCUGGACGAAGACAUGGAGAAGUGCAUGGCUGUUGCCACCCCUUGGACGUGAGUGAGGGUCACUUCCAGUAAGUAGCAGCCGUGGCCGGGAUUCGAUCCUGUGACCUCGUGCUUAGGAGCCCAACACCAUAGCCGCUAAGCAACCAUGGCGGGUGCAGAAUUCAUGAAGAAAAGUAUCCCAAUUUUAUUCAGCGUUUGUACGAAGAUAUUGACAGUUGAGGUAUGAACUACAAACUAUCAGUGGGUACUACCUUGGCGUUCACGGCAGCUAUUCUGCUCACUGCUGUAAGUGCCCACAAUCGGGAUAAACCGCUGACAUUUGAGAACGGGGAAUGCAACUAUAAUGGACAUACAUUCCGCAAUGGGAGAACGUUAUGGACAAGUGACUGCGUGCACUAUUACUGUAAUGCAAAUGCAGGAUAUAUGAUUAUUUACGGGUGUCCGGCAACAUACGAUUACGAAGGAGAACCUUCCCCGAAUCCUGGAGAUUGGCCUGACUGCUGCGAUGAGAAUGAAUAAUGGAGUGUUCAGCCUGCUACCAUUUGCAAGAUUUUUGGCAACGCGAUGACUAAUUAGUUCGCAAUAAAAGACCAACUUGACUGCGCAAAUAACCCUGCUAGCACAAAAGAGAUAUAAUCAUUCUUAUUCAUGGAUACUUCGACUUGACCGUCCAAAAUCGAUAUUGACAAAGAGAACAUCCAGAACAAUUCAA